UCACUGUUAAGAGACUCACAUGUGUUUGUGUUGUUGUUUUGAAAUAACUUUUCCUGACAAUUUUAUAGAAAUCUUGUAUUUUUGGUCGGUAUAAACGACAGUUGCAUUUACUAAAUGUUACCGAUUGAGGUCUUCACGUGUUUCCCCGGUCAGAUGUGGGACAAAGUGUUGUCAAAGGUAAAGAAAGCUGUUGUUUUCAUGGACGACAAGUGUGCUGAGAGUCUUCAUUGGAACGGUGGAGCUACAAGUUUAUUUGAGGCUGGGGCUCGUAAUUUAAAAGAGUUUUCAAGCUUCGAAGCCGGUGGUGAAAACGAACCAAAGGCUGUGUUUGUGGUGAGCACUCUGCUGAAGGGGAGGACAGCUGACAUUAUCAAAGACAUUAUUGGACCUCUAGACCAUCAAAAUAAAGCGAACAGAGAAUAGGUUUGUCAGUUUGACUGAUUUUGACAUGCAGUCUCUUACUCCGGAGUUGCAGAUUGAAAUUAAAACCCUGGCCUGUGUGGUUAAUUCCAUGUUUGAGUCCACCAGCACCCGGCAGGAGAACUUUGCAGUGGGUCCAAUGAGCCGUCUUAUCGCUGGGGAACUGGCCAACCAUCCUCAAGCAAAAAGCCGCAGAAAGACUGCCACCAAUAAAGCAUCCAUUGUCUUCAUCGACAGGGCACUGGGUCUAACAGGGGCUGCUGGUCACCAUGGUGACAGCCUGAUGGAGAAGAUCUUGACUGUGCUGCAACCUCUGCCAGGACACACCACUGAUGUUCAGGUGGACAUGCUGGAGCUCAUUAACCUGCAGCACAUCCCAGACUCCCAAACUACCCUGGCUCCAGGCUGCCUGGCACAGACCCAGUCGUCCACAGCCUGAUUGCUAUGGGAAACGAUGCUGGCCAGUAAGCAGAAGGAGGCUGUGAUGGGGGUUCGUAGACAGCUGGUGGAGGCCGCCAGCAAGGAGAACCUGCCAAUCAAGAUGAGUCUGGGCCGUGUAACCCCGGAGCAGCUGUGUUCCUACGUGCAGCUGUUUAAAAGUAGCUGGGGGGGCUCUAGAGAGUCACUGUGGGGUGCUCCAGCUGGGCCUGGCCACCGCCCAGACCCUCCGCCACCCCACCCUGCCACGCUGGGACACCUGCCUGGCUUUCGAGAGACUGCUGCUGCAGGCUCUCGGAGACUCUGACUUUGCUGGUGUUCUGAGGCAGCUGCUGCCCCUGAUGAAGCCUCGCGGUGAGGAGGGGUCCAGCUCAGAGUCCAGUUCAGCUUCUCGGUCAGGGGAGGAUGAGUGUGGUCCAGACGAGCUGCUGGUGCUGCUGGUCUACCUGUACUCCCUGGCUGGAGAGGCUCAGCCUGCAGACUAUGAAGAGGUGGAGAAGGUGGAGAGGGAGCUGAUUGGAGCGCUCACCCUAGUCAUCACCAGAGAGACGGAGCUCAGCCCGCUGCUGCAGAAACUCACCAGUUAGGAGGGUGGGGGGCAGGGGUGAAGGGAACUGUGGGGUGGAUCUUGGCUGAUGGGGUCGCUGGUUUGCGUAUGUUUGAAAUAGUGGAACCUAAUAUUGCACCAUUCUCUUGAUAAGACUCAACUGAACCAGAUGCAACAUAUCACAACAUUAUAGACGGGUUGCUUCUUUACCAACUAUGGGACAAAACAGACUGGGUUGGCUUAGAUGGUUGACAACAUGUAAAUGUUUAUUGAAAACAUACAGUGCAUUUAGAAAGUAUUCAGACCCCUUGACUUUUUCCAAAUUUUGUUACGUUAACAGCUUUAUUCAUACCAUCAAUACCAUCAAUCUACACACAGUACCCCAUAUUGACAAAGUGAAAACAAGUUUUUAGAAAUGUUUGCAAAUGUAUUCAAAAAU